AAUGAACGCUGGCGGCGUGCUUAACACAUGCAAGUCGUACGAGAAACCCCGGCUUGCCGGGGGAGUAAAGUGGCGCACGGGUGAGUAACGCGUGGGUAAUCUACCCUCGAAUUGGAGAUAACACACCGAAAGGUGUGCUAAUACCGAAUAAGACCACGACCUCCACGGGGGUUGCGGUCAAAGAUGGCCUCUGCUUGCAAGCUGUCGUGUGAGGAUGGGCCCGCGUACCAUUAGCUUGUUGGUGGGGUAAGGGCCUACAAAGGCAACGAUGGUUAGCUGGUCUGAGAGGAUGGCCAGCCACACUGGAACUGGAACACGGUCCAGACUCCUACGGGAGGCAGCAGGGAGGAAUUUUGCGCAAUGGGGGAAACCCUGACGCAGCAACGCCGCGUGAGUGAAGAAGGCCUUCGGGUUGUAAAGCUCUGUCAAGUGGGAAGAACCUUUUUCGGCCGAAUACGCCGAGAAACUGACGGUACCGCUGAAGGAAGCACCGGCUAACUCCGUGCCAGCCGCCGCGGUAA
rnacentral:rRNA from 1 species